rfam:Mesocricetus auratus contig121218, whole genome shotgun sequence.
GGAGAGAUGGCUCAGUGGUUAAGAGCAUGGACUGUUCUUCCAGAGGACCCAGGUUCAAUUCCUAGUACCCUUA